rnacentral:rRNA from 1 species
UACGAAGGGUGCAAGCGUUACUCGGAAUUACUGGGCGUAAAGCGUGCGCAGGCGGUUUUGUAAGCCAGAUGUGAAAUCCCCGGGCUUAACCUGGGAAUGGCAUUUGGGACUGCAAGGCUGGAGUUUGGCAGAGGAGACUGGAAUUCCUGGUGUAGCAGUGAAAUGCGUAGAUAUCAGGAGGAACACCGAUGGCGAAGGCAGGUCUCUGGGCUGAAACUGACGCUCAUGCACGAAAGCGUGGGGAGCAAACAGG